AAGUAUUUUAAUGAGCUUGACUUUGAUUUGAUUCAAGGGCUUGUAAAGCUUGAUCUUGAAUCUCCUCCUAGAAUUUGAAUUUGGGUUUGAUCACGAAUUACUAAUCUUGAACACCUUGGUAUUUGAUUUUGCUUCGUUCUUGAUCUUGAACUUGAACUUGUAGCUUGAGUGCUUGAACUUGUAGCUUGUGGAUAAAUAUGCGGUGUUUGAUCCACGAGCUCUCUAC
rnacentral:lncRNA from 1 species